AAUGAACGUUGGCGGCGUGGAUUAGGCAUGCAAGUCGUACGGGUCGGUGUAGCAAUACAACGGCAAGUGGCGAAAGGGAGAGUAACACGUAGAUACCUACCCUCUGGUCGGGGAUACCGCGGCAUAACCGCAAGUAAUACCCGAUAAAAUCUCCGGAUCAAAGGUGUGAUUCCGCCGGAGGAGGGGUCUGCGUUCUAUCAGCUUGUUGGUGAGGUAAUGGCUCACCAAGGCUAAGACGGAUACGGGGUGUGAGAGCAUGCCCCCGCUCACUGGGACUGAGACCCGGCCCAGACACCUACGGGUGGCUGCAGUCGAGAAUCGUCGGCAAUGGGGGCAAGCCUGACCGAGCGACGCCGCGUGCGGGAUGAAGGCCGUCGGGUUGUAAACCGCUGUCGAGGGGAAUGAAGUGUAGGUGGGUACUCCCAUCUAUUUGACAGAUCCCUGGAGGAAGCAUGGGCUAAGUUCGUGCCAGCAGCCGCCGUAA
rnacentral:rRNA from 1 species